GCCAAUGGCCAUCAGUCAGACUGCUGAAGUUGGAUUAAGUAUUGCAAGAUAAUGAAAUGUGCUGCAGCCUGUACCACAUGGAGUUGUAUUCAGGACAAGAAAUUACAACUAGCUCAUAUCCUUACACCUACUAAAAGAAAAUUGUUCCACCAAAUCUUUGGAGCUGACCAGUUGCAAAAUCUUUUGGGACCUUGUUUUUAUCAAGAAUGCAAAACUAAGAAAGACAUAAAUGUGACAGUUUGGUAGAAAGCAGGCUGCAAACUUUUCGAACUUUGUACUGGAGGCCUUGUUGAAGAAAGUUGACAGGAAGGUCAAUGCCAUUUGACUGUAGAGGGCCAUUCAAACAAAAUUUGCAAAGGCUUUGGGAUCAGAUAACUGAUGUGGCAGUCAAUGUCAUGGGUUAAGGCCCAAGUGCCUAGUGCCACAAGAUAUGCAAUGACCUCUCACAGGUAGUCAAGACUCCAAGUAAAUCAAAUGAAGAAGCUAGUGAAAUCCUUGCGGUUGCAAAUCACUAAUCUUACCAAUUUCAAAUACACCUUGAAGUUUAACCACAUUCGAUUAAGAAACUUUGGUCACCGCUACUCUAUUCAUAGCCUUCUUUGCUGACAAAUUAUAAAAAUUGCAUAUUUGUAAUUUGUUUCUGUGUAAUAUCAAUUUAUAUCAUGCACAUGUUAUUUGCAUUUGAAAGCUGUGAAGACUUUUAUUUAAAUUGCAUGGCCCUAAUAGAAAACUUAGGUAAAAUUGCUGAAAAAAAAAUCAAACCUAGACAGAAGGGGAGCUUCAUUUUCAUCAAUGUCUGUUCUUCUGUUUGUACUUGUUCAAAAUACUCUGCCUCCUUCGUUACAAUGUUAGUAGAAAGCAUCACUUUGAAACAGAAUUCAAGAACACAAACUACAUACA